GAUGAACGCUGGCGGCGUGCUUAACACAUGCAAGUCGAACGGAAAGGCCGAAGCUUGCUUCGGUACUCGAGUAGCGAACGGGUGAGUAACACGUGGGUGAUCUGCCCUGUACUUCUGGAUAGGCUUGGGAAACUGGGUCUAAUACCGGAUAUGACGAUCUCUUGGAUGGGGUUGUGGAAAGCUUUUGCGGUAUGGGAUGAGCUCGCGGCCUAUCAGCUUGUUGGUGGGGUAAUGGCCUACCAAGGCGUCGACGGGUAGCCGGGCUGAGAGGGUGUACGGCCACAUUGGGACUGAGAUACGGGCCAGGCUCCCACGGGGGGGAGGAGGGGGGAAUAUUGCACAAUGGGGGCAAGCCUGAUGCAGCGACGCCGGGUGGGGGAUGACGGCCUUCGGGUUGUAAACUCCUUUCGCAAUCGACGAAGCCUUUUGGUGACGGUAGGUUGAGAAGAAGCACCGGCUAACUACGUG
rnacentral:rRNA from 1 species